AGUGAACGCUGGCGGUAGGCCUAACACAUGCAAGUCGAACGGCAGCACAGUAAGAGCUUGCUCUUACGGGUGGCGAGUGGCGGGCGGGUGAGGAAUACAUCGGAAUCUACUUUUUCGUGGGGGAUAACGUAGUGAAACUUACGCUAAUACCGCAUACGACCUACGGGUGAAAGCAGGGGAUCUUCGGACCUUGCGCGAUUGAAUGAGCCGAUGUCGGAUUAGCUAGUUGGCGGGGUAAAGGCCCACCAAGGCGACGAUCCGUAGCUGGUCUGAGAGGAUGAUCAGCCACACUGGAACUGAGACACGGUCCAGACUCCUACGGGAGGCAGCAGUGGGGAAUAUUGGACAAUGGGCGCAAGCCUGAUCCAGCCAUACCGCGUGGGUGAAGAAGGCCUUCGGGUUGUAAAGCCCUUUUGUUGGGAAAGAAAAGCAGCAGGUUAAUACCCCGCUGUUCUGACGGUACCCAAAGAAUAAGCACCGGCUAACUUCGUG
rnacentral:rRNA from 1 species